rnacentral:rRNA from 1 species
UACGGAGGGUGCAAGCGUUAUCCGGAUUCACUGGGUUUAAAGGGUGCGUAGGUGGGCAGGUAAGUCAGUGGUGAAAUCUCCGGGCUUAACCCGGAAACUGCCGUUGAUACUAUUUGUCUUGAAUAUUGUGGAGGUAAGCGGAAUAUGUCAUGUAGCGGUGAAAUGCAUAGAUAUGACACAGAACACCAAUUGCGAAGGCAGCUUACUACACAAUGAUUGACACUGAGGCACGAAAGCGUGGGGAUCAAACAGG